rnacentral:rRNA from 1 species
CGCGUAGGCGGCUUGCCAAGUCAGUGGUGAAAUCCUGCAGCUUAACUGCAGAAGUGCCUCUGAUACUGGCGAGCUAGAGGGAGGUAGGGGUAUGUGGAACUUCUGGUGGAGCGGUGAAAUGCGUUGAUAUCAGAAGGAACGCCGGUGGCGAAAGCGACGUACUGGACCUCUUCUGACGCUGAGGCGCGAAAGGCUAGGGGAAGGCAAACG